UUGAUUGCGAAUCGUUGUCUUCAGUGCUGGCCAGCUCUCUGGCAAGUGCACGUUGGCGGCUUUUCAUCCAAUACCCUGUGAACCUUUGGCCUCUUGCUCGCCUUGGCCGGCAGAGGAUUUUUACACACACACUCGAAUGUAAUGAAAACGUUUGUCGUGCGCAAGCACUAAUGUA
rnacentral:misc_RNA from 1 species